GAUGAACGCUGGCGGCGUGCCUAAUACAUGCAAGUCGAGCGAACAGACGAGGAGCUUGCUCCUUUGACGUUAGCGGCGGACGGGUGAGUAACACGUGGAUAACCUACCUAUAAGACUGGGAUAACUUCGGGAAACCGGAGCUAAUACCGGAUAACAUGUUGAACCGCAUGGUUCAACAGUGAAAGACGGUCUUGCUGUCACUUAUAGAUGGAUCCGCGCCGCAUUAGCUAGUUGGUAAGGUAACGGCUUACCAAGGCAACGAUGCGUAGCCGACCUGAGAGGGUGAUCGGCCACACGGGAACUGAGACACGGUCCAGACUCCUACGGGAGGCAGCAGUAGGGAAUCUUCCGCAAUGGGCGAAAGCCUGACGGAGCAACGCCGCGUGAGUGAAGAAGGUCUUCGGAUCGUAAAACUCUGUUAUUAGGGAAGAACAAAUGUGUAAGUAACUAUGCACGUCUUGACGGUACCUAAUUAGAAAGCCACGGCUAACUACGUG
rnacentral:rRNA from 1 species